AACGCCUCGUUAGAAGCCUUUGAACCGACCAAACCUCGAUCAGGUCUUAACUGUAGAAACAAGGAGCGAAACAAAUCUUCAACCGGAUGAAACCAAUCUCAAAAGAGAGCAGCACAAGAUCGAACCGGGAAGAAACCAUAAAGACCACCACUAGAACCAGGGAGCACGAGUAAACAAGUCGAACAACCAAAUAGAGAUCAAGCUAGUCACCAGAACCGUUCAAAUAACCAAAACACAUGAACACAAAGAGGAAGCAUGAGAGACGAGGGAGGGACCGAGGUACCGAGAACGGAGCCGUUGUUGCUCAGAUCCAGUGAAGGAAGAAGGCCAGAGCCUCCUCCGGUGCUCCCAAUGCAAUGAAACACGUGACCAGAGACAAAACGAAGAUCCACACCAUGAGGCAGAGGCGAGAACGACGACUCCAUCUUCACCAUCUACCUUAAGGCAUGUCAAUUUCGGUCUCAUAGAACCAAACCUCGAUAGAUUUGAGAUUCGAUACAACCCAAUCCACCUCGCCGAAAUCACCACGCUUCACAGCCGAAGAAAGCAAUGACAAGAAAUAAGAGAGGGGACCGACGCUGGCGCUUUAGGAGCCACCACGCGCCGGUCAGAUCUAGCCAAGACGGUAAAAAACAAGAAAGAGCUAAAGCAACAACAAAAUCAUUUGGGAUUGUUGUUAUUCAUUAGUGAGCCAACUUUGCAUUAGGCCACCAAUAUGCUAUAGUUACGG